rnacentral:rRNA from 1 species
GCUAUGAGACUCAGAUCACGUAGGUCUUUAAUGGUCGAACAGCAAUUGAUAGCGGCUGCACCAUCAGGAGGACCCGAUCCAACAUGAGGUCGCAAACCCCUUCGACAAUGCGGACUUUAGAAGGGAUUACGCUGUUAUCCNUGCGGUAACUUAGUUCAUNGAUCGGNUGGUCCGGAUNGUAUAUUGUUGUUGCAUGGGUCGAUUUGAGGUNUAGAUGUGUAAUUACGGGAGAUGCUUUUAUCCCGUGGUUGCCCCAACCAAAGAGGGGUGGGAAGGGGAGGGAAAGAGGGUAGGCGAGUUUAGUAGGGUAGUAGCAGUAGUCGGCGGGUAAGCUUAUUCUCUUGUCCUUUAAKCUCGACAGGGUCUUCUYGUCUUGCAUUUUUAUGGCNSMUUYWGCACSGCCAGAGAAKYYUCAGSUGUAAGGGGGGAGACAGUCAGGCCCURGUGUAUGCCAUUGAUAYCGGUCCYUA